AAGGAAGGAAGGAAGGAAGGAAGGGAGGGAGGGAGGGAGGGAAGGAGCGGUGGCCAUCACUCAAGCGAUCUUUAUAUGUAAAAGAUAACUGAUUGUGCCUUAAAGAUUCAUAGGUCAAGUAAUGGCCCACAAGCACCAAGGUUCAUUUUAGAGUAUAUAAGGCCCACAAAGAUACCAACCUUACAAGUAUCAACAAACUAGUUAUGAACUCUGUUCCUCACUCAAACAAAAUCCUUCAAUCCUCCUUGCUCUUCAAGGAAUAUUGCUUUUUUUCUUCAAAAAAACAAGAGACUUGAUUCUUACACCAUUCAUUGAUAAACAAAGAAAACAAA
rnacentral:lncRNA from 1 species